CGCCUUGCCAGCCCGCUCAGAACUUAAAUGAAGUUGACGGGGGCCCGCGACAAGCGGCGGAGCAUGUGGAUUAAUUCGAUGCAACGCGAAGAACCUUACCUGGGUUUGACAUACACCGGAAAACCGUAGAGAUACGGUCCCCCUUGUGGUCGGUGUACAGGUGGUGCAUGGCUGUCGUCAGCUCGUGUCGUGAGAUGUUGGGUUAAGUCCCGCAACGAGCGCAACCCUUGUCUUAUGUUGCCAGCACGUGAUGGUGGGGACUCGUAAGAGACUGCCGGGGUCAACUCGGAGGAAGGUGGGGACGACGUCAAGUCAUCAUGCCCCUUAUGUCCAGGGCUUCACACAUGCUACAAUGGCCAGUACAGAGGGCUGCGAGACCGUGAGGUGGAGCGAAUCCCUUAAAGCUGGUCUCAGUUCGGAUCGGGGUCUGCAACUCGACCCCGUGAAGUCGGAGUCGCUAGUAAUCGCAGAUCAGCAACGCUGCGGUGAAUACGUUCCCGGGCCUU
rnacentral:rRNA from 1 species